rnacentral:rRNA from 1 species
CACUCCUACGGGAGGCAGCAGUGGGGAAUUUUGGACCAUGGGGGCAACCCUGAUCCAGCAAUGCCGCGUGAGUGAAGAAGGCCUUCGGGUUGUAAAGCUCUUUUGUCAGGGAAGAAACGGUAGUAGCGAAUAACUAUUACUAAUGACGGUACCUGAAGAAUAAGCACCGGCUAACUACGUGCCAGCAGCCGCGGGAAUACGUAGGGUGCAAGCGUUAAUCGGAAUUACUGGGCGUAAAGCGUGCGCAGGCGGUUGUGUAAGUCAGAUGUGAAAUCCCCGGGCUCAACCUGGGAAUUGCAUUUGAGACUGCACGGCUAGAGUGUGUCAGAGGGGGGUAGAAUUCCACGUGUAGCAGUGAAAUGCGUAGAUAUGUGGAGGAAUACCGAUGGCGAAGGCAGCCCCCUGGGAUAACACUGACGCUCAUGCACGAAAGCGUGGGGAGCAAACAGGAUUAGAUACCCCAGUAGUCCCA